rnacentral:lncRNA from 1 species
GUCUGAGGUCCCCCUCUUAUCUCACCUUUUUUAAGAGAAAAGAAGUGUGUACUCCAACUUCAAAUCUGUGUCCAAGAUCUCACCAGAGGAGGACAUUUGGCACAACGAAGAGGAGGAGGAGGAGGAAGAGGAAGAGGAAGAAAUGGGGAUCAAGACACUCCUCUCUGUGCCCAGGCAGGAGUCGGUGUGGGGGCUGGUGGCCUGGCCCAGGGCCUCUCUGGAGCAGAAUCCUUGGUGGGAAGACCUGAAUUUCUCCCUGCCCCCGCUCCCUGGGCCCUGUGAGUGCAACCUGGGGACAAAGGUGACCCUCCUCCCCCAGCCCUCCCCGGCCUCCAGCUCCACCCUUCAAACCUUGCCCUACUUGUCAUCCAAGUUGGAACCCACUUCUCUGGGGGACCAGCCUCAGAAAGAGCCUUCUCCGUCAGCUGCCCACAAGAAGACCCCCAAGAUCAGGAGGAGGCACCACCGCAAGGCCAGGCGCCAGGCCUCCCCUAAGAAAUCCACUGCCUCCCAGGCCCUGCGGCAGCUAGCCCCAAUGUCAGUGUGGCCUCCGAUUAUUAUCAAAGCCCCCGCCAAGGGUUCAGCUCUCCAAAGUGGCCAUGCGCCCUUUGCCAAAGAGGACUCCCACUCCUCAGGUACUGGUGACCACCCCUUGCCCCAGCUUUCUCCCAAAUAAAUAUUUUUGUUAGAUCAGCA